rnacentral:rRNA from 1 species
UACGAAGGGUGCAAGCGUUAAUCGGAAUUACUGGGCGUAAAGCGCGCGUAGGCGGUUUGUUAAGUUGGAUGUGAAAGCCCCCGGGCUCAACCUGGGAACUGCAUCCAAAACUGGCGAGCUAGAGUAUGGCAGAGGGUGGUGGAAUUUCCUGUGUAGCGGUGAAAUGCGUAGAUAUAGGAAGGAACACCAGUGGCGAAGGCGACCACCUGGGCUAAUACUGACACUGAGGUGCGAAAGCGUGGGGAGCAAACAGG